CCUACGGGUGGCAGCAGUGAGGAAUAUUGGUCAAUGGCCGGAAGGCUGAACCAGCCAAGCCGCGUGAGGGAGGAAGGCGCAGAGCGUCGCAGACCUCUUUUGCCGGGGGACAAAAGGCCGGACUCGUCCGGUCCUGAGGGUACCCGGAGAAAACGCACAGGCAAACUCCGGGCCAGCAGCCGGGGUAAUACGGAGGAUGCGAGCGUUAUCCGGAUUCAUUGGGUUUAAGGGGUGCGCAGGCGGGCCUUUAAGCCGGCGGUGAAAUCGCGGGGCUCAACCCCGCCGAGCCGUUGGAACUGGGGGGCUAGAGGGCGGCGGAGGCAUGCGGAAUGCGCGGUGUAGCGGUGAAAUGCAUAGAUAUGGCGCAGAACCCCGGUGGCGAAGGCGGCGUGCCGUGCCGCCACUGACGCUGAGGCACGAAAGCGCGGGGAGCGAACAGGAUUAGAUACCCGGGUAGUC
rnacentral:rRNA from 1 species